UACAGAGACUGCAAGCGUUGUCCGGAUUUAUUGGGCGUAAAGAGCUCGUAGGCGGUUGGGCAAGUCACGUGUGAAAUCUCCACGCUCAACGUGGAGGCGCCACGUGAGACUGCCCUGACUAGAGUCCAGUAGGGGAGCGUGGAAUUCCUGGUGUAGCGGUGAAAUGCGCAGAUAUCAGGAGGAACACCAGUGGCGAAGGCGGCGCUCUGGGCUGGAACUGACGCUGAGGAGCGAAAGCGUGGGGAGCGAACAGG
rnacentral:rRNA from 1 species